rnacentral:ncRNA from 1 species
GUAAAACCGAUGAAGAAGAGGAGUAGCCUUGCAAAUCGCCUCAAAGAGAGCCGCGGGUGGUGGGAUCGCGGCAGGUAAGCGGCAGGGUGAAUGGAUUUCCGAGGGUGUAUGGCGAAAGAUUUUUUCAAGUAGCCAGACGGGGACUCUGCCCGUUAUCAGGGGAGCACGUGCUGUUGGGCACGGAAAAGUGAGUGGGCGCCGCCGUAUAGCGGCGUCAAUCCGGGUGGUACCGCAGAGGUUUGGCCUUUGUCCCAGAA